AAACCGUUCAGGGGUAAACCUGAGAAACCCGAAAGUUCGAAAGGAGAGAUUCACCGCGACUCGUUUCGUCGACGAGAACGUCGUACGGACGUCGGUCGUGCCUUUCGGGGUACGAUCGCGCCGAACGCGUUCCGUUACGGGCGUACGAUCGCGUGCACUUCUCUCCCUGUAGGACGUCGCGACCCGUUGGGCGUCGGUCUACGAUCGGCGGUGGAGUCCGCGAGGCGAUCGCCUUAAAAACGAUCUCGUCCUCUCGAACCCGCCUGUAUCCGGCCGACUCGCUCGACGGUAGUAAUCAAGGCUCGGGGCCGCGACCAGUUCGCGUUCGGCCCGUUGCAAGCUUCGUCCGGUUUUAAUUUGGUGUACUCGGCGGCCUCGCGUCGCCGGUCCCGAAUACGGAUCGACUGUUGGCAACGGUGUUCUCGGACAGACUCCGUAUACAAGCCUGUCAGCGACGCUAUCGCUUUGGGUACUUUCAGGACCCGUCUUGAAACACGGACCAAGGAGUCUAGCAUGCACGCAAGUCUUCGGGACUGUUUUAACUAAUCCUAAAGGCGUAAUGAAAGUGAAGGUCCGCCUUGGCGCGCGACCUAGGGAAGAUGGGAAGUCCCCGAUCCUUGUGGUCGGUGUACGACGACCCCGCAUUCCCGGGGCGUCUCGAUCUCAUCGCGAGAUGAGGCGCACCCAGAGCGUACACGCU
rnacentral:rRNA from 1 species